rnacentral:rRNA from 1 species
AAUGAACGCUGGCGGCGUGGAUUAGGCAUGCAAGUCGAACGAGAAAGCGGUCUUCGGAUCGCCGGUACAGUGGCGAACGGGUGAGUAACGCGUGGGAAAUCUACCCUCGAGUGGGGAAUAACAACCCUAACGGGUUGCUAAUACCGCAUAAUAUUGCAGGUCGCAUGUCCUGCAAUCAAAAGUGGCCUCUACUUGUAAGCUGUUGCUUGAGGAAGGUCCCGCGUCCCAUUAGCUUGUUGGUAGGGUAACGGCCUACCAAGGCGACGAUGGGUAGCCGGCCUGAGAGGGUGGUCGGCCACACUGGAACUGAGACACGGUCCAGACACCUACGGGUGGCAG